rnacentral:rRNA from 1 species
AGAGUUUGAUCCUGGCUCAGGACGAACGCUGGCGGCGUGCCUAAUACAUGCAAGUAGAACGCUGAAGAGAGGAGCUUGCUCUUCUUGGAUGAGUUGCGAACGGGUGAGUAACGCGUAGGUAACCUGCCUUGUAGCGGGGGAUAACUAUUGGAAACGAUAGCUAAUACCGCAUAACAAUGGAUGACACAUGUCAUUUAUUUGAAAGGGGCAAUUGCUCCACUACAAGAUGGACCUGCGUUGUAUUAGCUAGUAGGUGAGGUAACGGCUCACCUAGGCGACGAUACAUAGCCGACCUGAGAGGGUGAUCGGCCACACUGGGACUGAGACACGGCCCAGACUCCUACGGGAGGCAGCAGUAGGGAAUCUUCGGCAAUGGGGGCAACCCUGACCGAGCAACGCCGCGUGAGUGAAGAAGGUUUUCGGAUCGUAAAGCUCUGUUGUAAGUCAAGAACGAGUGUGAGAGUGGAAAGUUCACACUGUGACGGUAGCUUACCAGAAAGGGACGGCUAACUACGUGCCAGCAGCCGCGGUAAUACGUAGGUCCCGAGCGUUGUCCGGAUUUAUUGGGCGUAAAGCGAGCGCAGGCGGUUAGAUAAGUCUGAAGUUAAAGGCUGUGGCUUAACCAUAGUACGCUUUGGAAACUGUUUAACUUGAGUGCAGAAGGGGAGAGUGGAAUUCCAUGUGUAGCGGUGAAAUGCGUAGAUAUAUGGAGGAACACCGGUGGCGAAAGCGGCUCUCUGGUCUGUAACUGACGCUGAGGCUCGAAAGCGUGGGGAGCAAACAGGAUUAGAUACCCUGGUAGUCCACGCCGUAAACG